UAUUUGUGUGUGUGUGUGUGUGUGUGUAUAAAAUAUUUUAUACACACAAACACACACACAUAUACAGUG